rnacentral:rRNA from 1 species
UAGGGAAUCUUCCACAAUGGACGCAAGUCUGAUGGAGCAACGCCGCGUGAGUGAAGAAGGUCUUCGGAUCGUAAAACUCUGUUGUUAGAGAAGAACACGAGUGAGAGUAACUGUUCAUUCGAUGACGGUAUCUAACCAGCAAGUCACGGCUAACUACGUGACAG